rfam:Erinaceus europaeus unplaced genomic scaffold scaffold00014, whole genome shotgun sequence
GUGCUCACUUUAGCAGCAUAUAUACUAAAACAGGAAUGAUAUAGAGAAGAUUAGCAUGGACCCUGCACAAGGGAAAAAAAAGUCGAGGAUUAAAGAAACAUACCCCAAUUUA